UCGCAGUGUGGCUUAUCGUAGAAUAGGCCCUCGAAGAGCAUAUUCCCUUUGAUUUCCAAUUUUUGAAUCUGUCAGCAGCAAUGGCGGUCUCGUGGAGGCCAACUUUGCCUCUGAUUCUGUAUAGGAGCCUGGUUGUGGAUUUUUCUGUACCUACCUUCUUUAUAAAUAUUCCUCCACUAGAAGUAUAGGGUUUAUCGAUAAAAUUGAUACCGUCCAGUUCUAAAAUCAAAUCUUCGCUCUCAUCGUUUACGAAGAGUGGAUCACGAUUCCUUCGUGCAAAGUUCAACAAGCCACCGAAAUUGAAGACGACCCGGAGGACUUGAAGGUGAUGAUAGGCGCCAAUUUGCUCUUGCUGGGUUCAGAAGCUGCAUUUCUCAACUUUUAUUUCAGAGACUAUUACAUGUCAAAUCCUUUCGGUCGAAGCCCGAUACGCUGCUAGUCUUGGGAGAUGUUUCUGUAAAAGGUUCUGAGUUGACGAGAACUCAAUAUGUAUCUGUGCUCCAUCAGUUUCACGGACUGUUAGGCCCAUUUCUUAGACCUUGGACAAUGCAGCGCGUUGAAUGUGAAAUCGUUCAAAUGGGUUGCUGGCAACUUCCCGGAAUAAUCUCCGGUUUGGCGUUGAGAAAGUAAUACAGAGAGAAAGUGUGGAUUUAUAAAUGGAAGCGGAAGGCACUACUGAUGCAAUGAAUGAGUUUGGGGAAAUCAGACAGACAGUCCAUAACUUUGGUUAGAAAGCAAAUACUAUUUUAUCUGGGUCUGGUCCUGUUCUCCUACUUCACUUCCCUUUACACAGGACAACAGGUGGCAGCUGUAGUGGGGUUCAUGCUUUUACGAGUGAGUUCCAUUACGCUGGAUGGCAGGGGGCUUGUGGGGAUUGGGCCAUACAAGUUAUCACUCUCCCACCAAAUGUUACCGAAUACAUUUUUCAGGCUCUUAAACCAAGGUUCAGUUUCAAGCAAAGAACUGAAAUGGCUACAACUUAGUGUUACAGCAGUUAUUGAUCAUAAGCGGGUACCUCAAUUUCAAACGGAGAUGGA